AUGCCAUCGAAAGUCUAAGGUUUCCUGGGGAAGGUUCGUCCGCCCAGGGUAAGUCGGGACCUAAGGAGAGGCCGAAAAGCGUAUCCGAUGGACAGCAGGUAGAGAUUCCUGCACUACGAUAUAUUUAGAAACUAUAACUGACACAGGAAUGGAAGGUAAGCGAGGAAGAGGAAAAACUCGUAUCGAAAGAUAUAGUGAAAAUAAGUAACGAAUUAUCAAGAAAUACACUGGCGAGAAAAGGUUGUAGAAAUUGUAUAUAGUACCCGUACCGCAAACCGACACAGGUAGAUGAGGAGAAGAUCCUAAGAUGAGCGAGAGAAGCAUUGUUAAGGAACUCGGCAAACUGACCCCGUAACUUAGGGAGAAGGGGUGCCAAGGUAAAACUUGGUCGCAGAGAAUAGUCCCAAGCAACUGUUUAACAAAAACAUAGGUUUCUGCUAAAUCGAAAGAUGAAGUAUAGGAGCUGACACCUGCCCAGUGCUGGAAGGUUAAGGGGAAAUGUCAGGAGUAAUCCGAAGCAUAGAACCAAAGCCCCAGUGAACGGCGGCCGUAACUAUAACGGUCCUAAGGUAGCGAAAUUCCUUGUCAGGUAAGUUCUGACCCGCACGAAAGGUGUAAUGAUUUGGGAGCUGUCUCGACAAUGUACUCGGCGAAAUUGUAGUACUAGUGAAGAUGCUAGUUACCUGCGACAAGACAGAAAGACCCCAUGGAGCUUUACUGCAACUUGAUACUGGGUCUAGGUAAUUUAUGUACAGGAUAGGUGGGAGACUAUGAAACUUUGGCGCUAGCUGAAGUGGAGUCAUCCUUGGGAUACCACCCUUAAGUUACUUGGAUUCUAACCUGCCGUCAUAAACUGGCGGGGGGACAAUGUCAGGUGGGCAGUUUGACUGGGGCGGUCGCCUCCUAAAGAGUAACGGAGGCGCGCAAAGGUUUCCUCAGCGCGGACAGAAAUCGCGCGAAAGAGUGCAAAGGCAGAAGGAAGCUUAACUGAGAGACUGACAAGUCGACCAGAUACGAAAGUAGGUCUUAGUGAUCCGGUGGUUGUAAGUGGAAAUGCCAUCGCUCAACGGACAAAAGUUACCCUGGGGAUAACAGGCUUAUCUCCCCCAAGAGUUCACAUCGACGGGGAGGUU
rnacentral:rRNA from 1 species